AAUUCCCUACUGGAAGGUGCAUUACCACCUUUGCACCCUGCCACUAUCUCCUAUGGUUAACCAUGUGUCAUCCUAUGUAUUAAUUUCCAGGUCCUGCAAAAUGUGCAUUCAUAUUUCUUAUUUUGUAACUGUUAAAGUGUAAUAUGCCUGG